rnacentral:rRNA from 1 species
UACGGAGGGAGCUAGCGUUGCUCGGAAUGACUGGGCGUAAAGGGCGCGUAGGCGGUUUGUACAGUCAGGUGUGAAAUUCCCGGGCUCAACCUGGGGGCUGCACUUGAUACGUAUGGACUGGAGUGGGGAAGAGGGUCGUGGAAUUCCCAGUGUAGAGGUGAAAUUCGUAGAUAUUGGGAAGAACACCGGUGGCGAAGGCGGCGACCUGGUCCUUGACUGACGCUGAGGCGCGAAAGCGUGGGGAGCAAACAGG